UACAGAGGAUGCAAGCGUUAUCCGGAAUGAUUGGGCGUAAAGCGUCCGCAGGUGGUUUUGUAAGUCUGCUGUUAAAGCGUUAGGCUCAACCUAAUAAGGGCAGUGGAAACUAUGAGACUGGAGUAUGUUAGGGGUAGAGGGAAUUCCCAGUGUAGCGGUGAAAUGCGUAGAGAUUGGGAAGAACACCGGUGGCGAAAGCGCUCUGCUAGGACAAUACUGACACUGAGGGACGAAAGCUAGGGGAGCGAAUGGG
rnacentral:rRNA from 1 species